CCUCCGGGCGGCAGCAGUGAGGAAUAUUGGUCAAUGGACGAGAGCCUGAACCAGCCAAGUAGCGUGAAGGAUGACUGCCCUAUGGGUUGUAAACUUCUUUUAUAUGGGAAUAAAAUGUUCCACGUGUGGGAUAUUGUAUGUACCAUAUGAAUAAGGAUCGGCUAACUCCGUGCCAGCAGCCGCGGUAAUACGGAGGAUCCGAGCGUUAUCCGGAUUUAUUGGGUUUAAAGGGAGCGUAGGUGGAUUGUUAAGUCAGUUGUGAAAGUUUGCGGCUCAACCGUAAAAUUGCAGUUGAAACUGGCAGUCUUGAGUACAGGAGAGGUGGGCGGAAUUCGUGGUGUAGCGGUGAAAUGCUUAGAUAUCACGAAGAACUCCGAUUGCGAAGGCAGUUCACUGGACUGCAACUGACACUGAGGCUCGAAAGUGUGGGUAUCAAACAGGAUUAGAUACCCUGGUAGUC
rnacentral:rRNA from 1 species